rnacentral:misc_RNA from 1 species
UAAAUAAAAUAAAAAAGUUUUCUGUAAUAUUUCGACCGCGAUUAGAGAGUGUUCAUGGAGAGAUUUUUUUAUUACGUCUAGACAUGUUCAUAUUAGUUUUUGCAUUAUAGCAAGGAGGAUUGAUGAAUUAUAGAAUAUAUACUCUUCCAAAGUUUUGAAGUCUUACCUCCAAUAAUUUUCAAAAUUUUAAAUAAAAUAGAAUACCAUGAAUCUUUAGCAAAG